rnacentral:rRNA from 1 species
CCUACGGGAGGCAGCAGUGAGGAAUAUUGGUCAAUGGGCGCGAGUCUGAACCAGCAACGUAGCGUGAAGGAUGAAUGCCCUACGGGUUGUAAACUCCUUUUAUAAAGGAAUAAAGUGAGGCAAGUGUGCCUUUUUGUACGUACUUUAUGAAUAAGGAUCGGCUAACUCCGUGCCAGCAGCCGCGGUAAUACGGAGGAUCCGAGCGUUAUCCGGAUUUAUUGGGUUUAAAGGGAGCGUAGAUGGGUUGUUAAGUCAGUUGUGAAAGUUUGCGGCUCAACCGUAAAAUUGCAAUUGAUACUGGCAGCCUUGAGUACAGUUGAGGUAGGCGGAAUUCGUGGUGUAGCGGUGAAAUGCGUAGAUAUCACGAAGAACUCCGAUUGCGAAGGCAGCCUACUAAACUGUCACUGACAUUGAUGCUCGAAAGUGUGGGUAUCAAACAGGAUUAGAUACCCGGGUAGUC